CCCUUAGAUGUUCUGGGCCGCACACGCGCUACACUGAAGGAGGCAGCGUGUACUCCUGGAUCGAAAGAUUUGGGUAACCCGCGAAUCUCCUUCGUGCUAGGGAUUGAGGUUUGCAAUUAUCCUUCAUGAACGAGGAAUUCCCAGUAAGUGCAAGUCAUAAGCUUGCGCUGACUACGUCCCUGCCCUUUGUACACACCGCCCGUCGCUACUACCGAUUGAAUGAUUUAGUGAGGACUUCGGACUGGGACCGAUGCGGCUUUCGGGCUGCGUCGGUAUUCUGGAAAGAUGUUCAAACUGUAUCAUUUAGAGGAAGUAAAANUCGUANCA
rnacentral:rRNA from 1 species